CUCGUGGGGAUUCUUUUUUCGUUUUUCCUCCCUUUUUUAUAGAUAUUUGUACGUUUUCUCCCGGGUUCGUUCCAAAUCCUCUAGAUCUCGAUUAGUGCUCUCCGAGGUCUUUGUCCCGCCUUUCUAAAGGUCCUUUCUCUCUCAUAUCUCUUGCUCUCUACUACAAAAGAUUUCAAAACUUCUUCCUCCAGCAACCCUUCAAUUUCAACGGAGGCUUUUCAAAUCCGUUUCGUUUUUAACACAAAGAAGCUACUGUUUGCCGAUAAUUUCGGUGAUUUGGAAUUGGAUGAUAAUAAAUCUACGUGCACUGCUGGUUGGCAUUCCUUUUCGAACUCGAAGCGGUUGUCGACGGUCGUGUUCUGUGCUACAGUACUACAGUACUACAGUGCUACAGCUACAGGUGAGUCUCGCUAGCUAUUUUCCUUUCCUUUUUAUCGAUCGAUAGAUUGAAACCCCGUUUGUUGUUAUUUCAUUUGCAAGAGCCAUGUAAUUCGUGCUUUUGACGAUCUUCCUUUUCUUCGUUUUAGUAGCUACGUACGGUACGCACGCUGCUGCCCGUUUUUUGGUUUUGCGAUUGCUGCUGGCUGAUCCCCUUCUUCACUAGCAUCAGAAUCGAUGGCAUGUGAAUACAGAUAAACGAUCGGAUUCGCUGACUUUUUGGUUCAACAAAUCAAAGAGCGUUUCAAGCAAUAAUUACGACGCAGACGUGUUUCUCGGACAUUCGAAACGAAAUUUAUGGCAUUUAUGCUGGCGUUAAAUCAAACGAUGAAACAAGAAAAAACUUGACUGUGGAGAAAAAGACUAAAGUUAUAUAAUAUAGAUUAGCUGUUGUCCGUAAAUUGUAUUUUGUUAAUUUGUUGUUAGAGUAAGAUUCCUUUCUGAUGCACGAAA